UGGGGAAUUUUGGACAAUGGGCGAAAGCCUGAUCCAGCAAUGCCGCGUGUGUGAAGAAGGCCUUCGGGUUGUAAAGCACUUUUGUCCGGAAAGAAAUCCUUGGCUCUAAUACAGUCGGGGGAUGACGGUACCGGAAGAAUAAGCACCGGCUAACUACGUGCCAGCAGCCGCGGUAAUACGUAGGGUGCAAGCGUUAAUCGGAAUUACUGGGCGUAAAGCGUGCGCAGGCGGUUUGCUAAGACCGAUGUGAAAUCCCCGGGCUCAACCUGGGAACUGCAUUGGUGACUGGCAGGCUAGAGUAUGGCAGAGGGGGGUAGAAUUCCACGUGUAGCAGUGAAAAUGCGUAGAGAUGUGGAGGAAUACCGAUGGCGAAGGCAGCCCCCUGGGCCAAUACUGACGCUCAUGCACGAAAGCGUGGGGAGCAAAACAGGAUUAGAUACCCUGGUAGUCCACGCCCUAAAACGAUGUCAACUAGUUGUUGGGGAUUCAUUUCCUUAGUAACGUAGCUAACGCGUGAAGUUGACCGCCUGGGGAGUACGGUCGCAAGAUUAAAACUCAAAGGAAUUGACGGGGUCAUAGCUGUUUCCU
rnacentral:rRNA from 1 species